UACUAACAGUAUGGUAGGUAAUAAUGUGAGACAGGGGGCCGUCAAUCCAACAACAGUCGUUGUGACAGCGCGUCGCCUGCUCGAGCAGGGAACUGGCGGCCCAGCCACGCCGUGGCGAGCGAGUCACCUGUCCUACCUACCCUGCCUACCCUAGGGCUGGUCCCAGGACGAUCCAUCACGGCGUUAUUCUAUUGGUUGAUAAUAGAACUAGGCAUUUUAGUUUUUCUCUCCAUAAUUUGUGAUCGCAUACAACUUUUCUUAGCCAAACAAUUUUGAAGAAUUGUAAAUGCCAAAGGCCUUUACAAAACAAUCAAAAAUGUCAUCAAGUUUGUAGAAAAGCAGCGGAAAUGCGCUUGCAAAUUAUGGACGAAAAACUCACUGAAAUUACCCAUUGACAAUAUUAGAAAAUACAAAAAUUGGUGUUGUCCGUAGACUAAAAUCUACCAUCUAACCAAUGUGAGCAACACACGUCGAACGGUGAAACGUCCAUGGCACCAGCCUUUAACGCUAUCCGUAUACGGGCUCAGGAGUAUGUGCUAUCGAAACUAACAUCAGAUCUUGACUUUUAGGUCUUAUACAUCUUCUUAGUUUGAAUUAGAAUCUUAGAAAACAACAACGCAUUUAACUUACCAAUGUAGACCUUAUCUCGUUGUAAUAAAGUAUACGAAUGGUGAGUUAAGUGUGUUAACGAUGGUAUCAUAUUUAAAACUUAAAUCAACUUGUUUCUUGUUCUGACUCAGUACUGUAUUUUCGUCUUGUUACACAACUGUUACACAACUGCAACAGAUAAAUUAUCAGUGAUAAUACAUUAAACGAUUCCUGUUAUAUUCUUUGGAGACAUUGCAGCAUAGCCAAUAACCGAAAUAAAUUUUCGCACGUACCAUAUGACGUAAGUACGUCGACGUUAGGUAAAAUGAUAAGUCUAUGGACAGAUGGUUCGUUUCGAUAGCACAUCGAUAGCAUGCCAAGUUUCUCGCGGCCGCGUCCCUCAACUACGCUAGUGGGAGGGACGAUAGCAGCAACAGCGGCACGAACUAAGAGCUGAAAGUGACUUUAUUGUAUACAGAAUACGGCUGAUUUUUCAACAGAGCUACGCUACGAUUACAUAUAAUUGACACGGUUUAUAGUAAUCCCGGUACCAUGUGGCGUCACAAGUUAUAAUGUCAUCCCUUUCAAUACGCGAGGUCUAAACAAGCAUGAAAGUGACAGCAAUACGACUUGAGUCGCCAAUUGAUAUUGCGACUAGUAUAGUGUGGAUAAUUAGUAUGUAAAUGUAGCAUAGUUAUCUGUGAAAAAGGAGCUUAAAGAUCAUUUUAAGCACUUCGCUCGCGUAACUUUUGUUGCUGUCUGCAACGGCUCCGCGAAAACGCUAGCGCUAACGUUUGGCGCGACGCACGCAACGGAAUUUGGAUGAUGUCGAAUUUAAUACAAAAAUAAUAAUCAUGUUGCACUAAUCGUCCAAUAUGGACAUUUUAACGCUUUUCGAAGUACUUAGAUCGAAAAGUCUCAAGAGUUUGAAAUUGACAGAUGAGAAUUUCAAUAGCCGGGUCCACGCAGAGCGAGCAUACGCGCGAGGCAAUUUCCUCGCGCACAAAACGACCACUAGACGUGCCUCGACCGAGGCGGCGGGCGCGAGGCAUGCAUACACUGGCCGUUUUGUGCGCGAGCAAAUUGCCUCGCGCGUAUGCUUACUCUGCGUGGACCGUCAUCAGAAUGAUUAUGGGUUAGCACGGGUAGCGUUUAAAUUGAUUUAACUGCCAUAAUUAGCUUUAGUCAGUAGUCCAUUAUCUCGAAAUCGCCUUUAACAAAAAAGGAAAUAAAUAAUUAAUUAAAUCUAAAUUGGCAUGUGGUUGCGUCCUCGUCCGUUGCGCGCUCGCGCGUGCGUGCGUCUUACCUUGUAAGUAUCCCGUCACCGAAUUAGCAAGAGCAUUGGACACACAAUCGUCAAGCGGACG